ACAACUAAAUAAUAAUCCUCCAAAAAACCAAGGAGUCACGAGUCCAUACAUAUCAAAUUUACAAGAAUCGGAGUCCAUUUGACCCUUCAAAAUCAACAAUUUAAGGUUCACUUGGAUUUCAAUCCCUAACCACCAUUUUCGACAUUAAAGACCUUGAUUUCUAAGUGUUUAAUCCAUGAUUUUCUUACUGCACCAUAAUCACAUAUUCGAGGUCUAAGAGAUCAUACCUGAAGAAUCCCCUCGAAAAUCUCUCCAAAACCUCUCUCAAUCGCCUCAGCCCGAAGUUUUAUUGUUUUUGUCCUUUGCAAAAUAUUAAACCCUCUGUUAUCAUUAAAACUGGACGAUUUACACUUCCGCGGUAUGUUUCCGCUUCAGCGGUCCUCGCUCCCGCGUCCAGUUGACUGCUUUCGCGGUCUGCCCAUUUCUUCAGCGGCUGCUUCUGUGGUCGAUCUACCGCUUCCGUGACUGCCGCGUACGCGGUCCCUUAGACCGUUUCUCUGGUCUCUGGCUUUCCCCUUGGCCGCUUCUGCGGCUUAUUGUCCGCUUCUACGGACAGAGCUUAAGCAGCCUCCCUGCCGCUUCCGCGAAAAUACCAGAAGCAGCAACCAUUUUUCAAGCUUAACUCCAAAAAUUCCUCGUUUAUCCAUCUGAUAUCACCCGAGGCCCCUGGGGUCCAAACCAAAAACACAAUUAUGACCAAAUACCUCAUUCAAACUUGCUCGAGCCAUAACAACACUAGCGUAAACACACAAAAUCCCCAAAAUCAUCAAAUUAAAGCCUAAGAUAAACAUGAACUUCUCAAAAUCUCAUUCGAUGCCGAAACCAACAAACGAAGCCCGAAUGACCAGUAAAUUUGCAGACAUAUCCCAAUUCACUUAACGAAACUAAUGCAACAGCAUGAACUUCUAAAAAUCUCAUUUGAUGCCAAAACCAACCAAACGAAUCCUGAAUGACCUGAAAAUUUGCAGAAAUAUCUAGAAUCUCCAAACCAAGCUACUGCAAGUCUCGGAAUUUCAUUCCAACCCCCGGAUCAAAAUCUGUUCUAUCAACCGGAAUUCGCCGAAAUUCAACUUAGCCAAUUCAAGCCUAAUUCUACACCGGGCCUNNNNNNNNNNNNNNNUUAGCCAAUUCAAGCCUAAGUCUACACCGGGCCUCCAAAUUUAAUUCCGCCUUCUCUCCCAAGUCACAAAUCACCAUCCGAAACUAGUUGAAUAACCAGAAAUUCAUUCCGAGUCCUCUAACUCAGAAGUCAACAUCCGAUUGGCUUUGCCAACUUAAGCUUUCCUUAAAGAGAAUAUUGGUCUCAUUUCUAGCCAAAUUCAACCCAACACACUUCCAACUCACCAAAAAAAAUAUAUCAACACGCUAGGAAGCAUAAUACGGGGAUAACGGGGCUGAAAUACGGAAGACGAUGGGUCGGGUCGUCACUGUCUUCCUCCAGAAUUGGCACGACUACUUCUCUAUCCUGUAUCAACGGUGGUAUAUAUGCUAAAUUCUACCUUUUGCUGCAAAUUUAUUUUCCUGAAGUAGGCCUGCCCAUGACCUUCCUAUAUUACCUUUUGGAUUUGUUUUCAGCUCAUGCUUGCGCUUCGCAUCUUCAAUUUCAUCUAAUAUUGCUCCAUUUCUCUCCUACUUUGCCAAGCUUGUAGUUACUAUUAUAUUAGGCACUAUUUUACUUGUACUCGCUCCACCAGUUGUGACCGAUGAAACAUUCAUGUUAGAUAUCCCCUAGUUGACUGUGCUCAUUAAACCAGCUGAUUGUGGUCGAUUAGAGCUCAGAUCUGACCAAUUCAGCUCAUUGUCACUCUCCAAAUCCAAAUCUUCGUCUUGUAUUUUGUCUUUUGCUUUUGGAUGUUGCUUUCCUUGCUCCCUUGUGAUGGAUUUCUGUGAUUCCCCGUUCAAUUAGUGAUGUUUUGGUGUGAUUCUGCUUUGGUCUCCUUCUUUCUCCCUUUUUCGGCGAGUGUGCAGAUUAGAUACACCUAAUGUGUGCCGAGAGAGAACUUUUAUUCAAACAAAUGAUGUAUUUUUAUACAACAAAUGAUUUUUUCUGUCUAG
rnacentral:lncRNA from 1 species